GAGACGAGAGGUUGGUUGAAGUCUCCUAACAGGAGUAAACCGUCUCCGGGAUGCAUAGUUGAGCAUAAUGAGCGAAUGCAGUUUUCGAUUUCACGGAGCGUGGCAGCAUUUGCGGCAAGUCUAGGCGGGAGGUAUGCAGCAAUGAUGAAUAGUCGGGAAUUGCCUAUUUGUAUUACAACGCACACUAGCUCAAGCGAUGGAUGCACCGUUGUGUGUUCCCGUGACGUCAGAGACUGAGAGCACGCAAUCAACACACCUCCACCGCGGGAACAUGUACUGUUGUCAACACUACGAUCGCAUCGGUAGACUCGGAAGCUAUCGUCAAACAGCAAAGCCGAAGGCGAAACUCAUCGACCUUCGUGCGCAGUCCCCGCACGUUUUGAUAGUAAACAGAGGCAGUGGAACGGGCAGUGCGAAGCGCAUUAG